CCGAGGCCAAAUGUCUACUUUUUAGCCUCGGUAGCAUAGGAACUGAGGCUAAAAGUCUAAUUCCAAAAUAUAAAUUCGCAAGCGCGCCGCUUUUUCCCCCGACUCCUUUUCUCACUUGCUGUGCGAGCGAGUGAGAGAGAUCUUCGUUCUCUUUCUAGGGUUUUCCCCUGGGAUUUUCACACCUCGAUCGUCCCUCCUUUUUUUUUGCAUAGAAAACCCUAGCUUCGGCUCCUCUUCCUAUACUGAGAUUCUCCAACGCCGCCGCCUGACGCAAUUUCCGCAGAAGCAGCUAAAGCAGAACCCUUCCAUUGCAGCGGAAUCCGUUGCUCCGACUGCAAGAGACCUCCCGCCGGAGGUCUUUGGGAUGGAGACUCCGCCGGAAAGCCUCGGGGUCGGGUUCUCCCAUCCAGAUGUUCAGCAGAUGGUGAUGCUGGAGCUCGGACCCUCUCAAGCAUAAUGCAGAAACUAUCCAAGGGAGACGAACUUGAAAACUCGCAUGAUCGGUAUGAAUUUUCAUUUCUUUAGUCGGUGAUAGGGUUUUUGCUUUGAGAUGAUUGUAGAUUUAGCGUUUCUGAAGGUUUGUGAUUGUUUAUGGGGGUUCAUACAUGCUGUUGAAUUCGAAUUUGAGUGCGGAUUACAAAAAUAGGAAUUCGUUUAAAAUCUAGAUUGUUAAUAUUGUUAGUUUGUUCCCGUGAAUUUGAUAGCACCGAUUUGGGAUACGUCUGUCUCUCACUGAAAACAUGGAGGGCAAAAUUGACUGGCCUCUAGAACGGUCCAAGGCCUAUUUCUUAUUAUAAAAUAAAUAGGCCAAUAUAGAGUGAGCUCUGUUCAGUCCAAAUCAGAUAGUUAGGUUUUUUUUAAUAACUGUUUUCUUAGAGAUCCUCUGCUUGGAGUGAAUUUGGAGAAAAAUGUGGCUUUAAAGUAGGAUGCAGCCCACGGUAGCAUUUCAAAUCCCAACUGUAUAUUUGGAGUGGAUCCACGUCAAGCCUCAUUUGUUUCAGAGAAGAAAAAACCCAUGUUUCUUUCUAAGAAAUGGAGAAAUCUUCUUUGCAGGUGUAAUGCUUGCACAGAAUUCUAUGUCCAAAAGGGCAUUGGCUAUCUAAUUGAUGAGGACUCAAUUGAGGAAUAUGAAAAGGUGGCAAAGGAAAAGAGGAAGGAGAAAUUAGAGCAACAGGAAGGAGUGGAGUUAAAUUUUCUCAGCAAACUUGGUCAUGUCCAAAAGAUUGAGAUUCUGAAUGGCAUUGCUGACAUGAAGAAUGAGCUCAGGUGCAAUCAAAUGCACAGCUAGUGAGAAAAGGGAAGUGCCAUUUUUAGGUCUUCCAUUUAAUUAGUAUUGAGAGUUUGCAGAGUUUUAGAUCAUAAGGAUUUGAAAUCAGUGUUGAUAUUACUUCAGAUUACAGGUAAUGCACUUACAUCUUUUUGAAAAUUUUAUAUCUGGUGCUAUUUGUUAGG